AUGUCUUCUUCUUCUCUCUUGAAUUUAUUUAAAAAUAUCUAAAAAAACUAAGUUUAGAAGAAAUUCAUUGAAAAGAAAGUUUGUAGUGUUUAGCUAUCACCUAAGUUAGUACUAGCUUACUGGUAAUACUGAUGAACCUUUAGGUUAUUAUUGAAGUUAUCUAUGUGUUUAUCGUACUGCAUGCAUAGAUGUUAAAAUUUUUUGAGAGGAAGGAAACCUCCUGAUUCUGGGUUGUGUUUUACCAAUUCUUGCAUGCAUGAUAAGUUUUGAGAGAUUGAUCAUUUGAUAUGUAUAAUUAUCAUUCUUUUAGCUCAAGAAGCUAACGAGGGUCCCAACGGUAAAGGCAAAUGAUUUGCUGUGUAGAUUUGUACUAGAGUUUCUGGUGAGUUCCUUAUUACUUCCAUUUGUUGUAAAUUCCAUUGUUAUAUAAAUUAUGUAAGGUAAGUAAUCUUCCUCAGUAAUGUAUGAAUGGUUAAUGUGGGGGUAAUGGUCAUCCAGUGUAAUCAGUCUGAGUUCAGUUUGUUUGUGUUCAAUCUGUUUGUAUGGGUAAUGGUGUAUGCGUGAGAUAUGAUAUGUGGUGAUGGAGAAUGAGAGACAUAUUUGUGAAGCCUCUGGUAGGGUAGCUAUAUUGCAAACCGAACUGGAAAAUCACAAUAAAACAUGCUAUUCUGAAUGAAAUCGAUAUGAGGAGUUAAGAGGGAGUAUGUAUGUGAAUGAGACUGUAUGAUAUGCUUUGAAUUUGAAUUAUAGGUACGUGAUUGGCAUGAGGAUGAGAUGUAUUUGUCGUGUUAAAUUGGCGUACAGUAUCCGCCUAUGUGUUAUGUAAAUUGGCAUAUUAAGUCUAUCCGUGUUCUGUAAAUGUCAUUAGGUGUAAUAUGAUCAAUAUGUGAAACUCCUUCUGAAAGGUUUGGUAUUAUCAUAUGAAUUGGUAUGUAGGAUUUCUCUUUACUUUUGGGAACUCACUAAGUGCAUAUGAAGUUACUCUGUUAUCUUUUCCUUCUCAGGCUUACUGACUGAAGGAAGACUUUUUUGUUGAAGGGACUACGCCAGAGAACUGUUGCUAUUAUCACCAGGUCUUCAUCAGAAGCUUAAUAUCGUAGCUUGGCGAACUGUGUUUUUGAGCUAUCAUGGAUAAAGCAACUCUUGGUUGAAGUUGGAGUGGUAGUUCAUUAGUCACCAGUAAUAUGGUGUGACAACACGCCUACGAUUUCAAUCGCAGCAAAUCCCACACAUAAUGCUAAGGUGAAGCAUGCGGAAGUCGAUCACCAUUUUGUCCGUGAGAAAGUUCUCGACGUGGUCUUCAAGUUUUAUCUCUAGCUGAAGUUAUCAAGUUUCAACACAAAUAAAAAAACCGAGAGAAUGUUAGAGUAUUAGAUUAGUAGAGUUGUUAAGGUUGUUAAGGUUCCGUUAAAACGGUUAUGCAGUUGUGGCUACCGUUAGCGGACCUUAUUGACAUGUAUAAAAAUCCUAAUUAUCUUCAUGCAUGAUAAGCAAUAAUUUAAUAGUAUUGCUUUUUCACAGAAAAUACUAUUCUUGUUUGUUGACUUGCACUUUUAAGAUUCUUUGCUAUAGUUUAACACAGCCUAUAUAAGCCACCACCGUAAGAACGAUAGGAGAAUCAGUGAAGAGAAUGACUUAUGACAAUCCAAAAAAAUAGACAAUAGACAAGCCAAA